UACGGGGGGGGCAAGCGUUGUUCGGAAUUACUGGGCGUAAAGGGCUUGUAGGCGGCCAACUAAGUCCGACGUGAAAUCCCCAGGCUCAACCUGGGAACUGCGUCGGAUACUGGAUGGCUUGAAUUCGGGAGAGGGAUGCAGAAUUCCAGGUGUAGCGGUGAAAUGCGUAGAUAUCUGGAGGAAUACCGGUGGCGAAGGCGGCAUCCUGGACCGACAUUGACGCUGAGGAGCGAAAGCUAGGGGAGCAAAC
rnacentral:rRNA from 1 species